rnacentral:rRNA from 1 species
CUACGUGCCAGCAGCCGCGGUAAUACGUAGGUGGCAAGCGUUGUCCGGAAUUAUUGGGCGUAAAGCGCGCGCAGGCGGAUCAGUCAGUCUGUCUUAAAAGUUCGGGGCUUAACCCCGUGAUGGGAUGGAAACUGCUGAUCUAGAGUAUCGGAGAGGAAAGUGGAAUUCCUAGUGUAGCGGUGAAAUGCGUAGAUAUUAGGAAGAACACCAGUGGCGAAGGCGACUUUCUGGACGAAAACUGACGCUGAGGCGCGAAAGCCAGGGGGGCGAACGGGAUUAGAUACCCCGGUAGUCCUGGCCGUAAACGAUGGGUACUAGGUGUAGGAGGUAUCGACCCCUUCUGUGCCGGAGUUAACGCAAUAAGUACCCCGCCUGGGGAGUACGACCGCAAGGUUGAAACUCAAAGGAAUUGACGGGGGCCCGCACAAGCGGUGGAGUAUGUGGUUUAAUUCGAUGCAACGCGAAGAACCUUACCUACUCUUGACAUCCAGA